rfam:Lingula anatina scaffold1322, whole genome shotgun sequence.
GCCGCGAUAGCUCAGUUGGGAGAGCGUCAGACUGAAGUCGGCUUGUGUAGCACAAGAUGUCACCAGGUAUCUGAAGGUCGCUGGUUCAAUCCCGGCUCGCGGCA